rnacentral:rRNA from 1 species
GUGGGGAAUCUUGCGCAAUGGGCGAAAGCCUGACGCAGCCAUGCCGCGUGGAUGAUGAAGGUCUUAGGAUUGUAAAAUCCUUUCACCGGUGAAGAUAAUGACUGUAUCCGGAGAAGAAGCCCCGGCUAACUUCGUGCCAGCAGCCGCGGUAAUACGAAGGGGGCUAGCGUUGCUCGGAUUUACUGGGCGUAAAGGGCGCGUAGGCGGACAUUUAAGUCAGGGGUGAAAUCCCGGGGCUCAACCUCGGAACUGCGUUUGAUACUGGGUGUCUUGAGUAUGAGAGAGGUGUGUGGAACUCCGAGUGUAGAGGUGAAAUUCGUAGAUAUUCGGAAGAACACCAGUGGCGAAGGCGACACACUGGCUCAUUACUGACGCUGAGGCGCGAAAGCGUGGGGAGCAAACAGGAUUAGAAACCCGAGUAGUCC